rnacentral:rRNA from 1 species
GACGAACGCUGGCGGCGUGCUUAACACAUGCAAGUCGAACGGUGAAGCGCCUUCCUUUUUGGUGGGUGUGGAUGAGUGGCGAACGGGUGAGUAACACGUGAGUAACCUGCCCCCUUCUUCUGGAUAACCGCAUGAAAGCGUGGCUAAUACGGGAUAUUCUGGGUCUGUCGCAUGAUGGGUCUGGGAAAGAUAUUGUUUCGGUGGGGGAUGGGCUCGCGGCCUAUCAGCUUGUUGGUGGGGUGAUGGCCUACCAAGGCGGUGACGGGUAGCCGGCCUGAGAGGGUGGACGGUCACACUGGGACGGAGACACGGCCAAGACUCCUACGGGAGGCAGCAGUGAGGAAUAUUGCACAAUGGGCGCAAGCCUGAUGCAGCGACGCCGCGUGAGGGAUGGAGGCCUUCGGGUUGUGAACCUCUUUCGCCAGUGAAGCAGGCCUGCCUCGUUUGUGGGUGGGUUGACGGUAGCUGGAUAAGAAGCGCCGGCUAACUACGUG